AGAGUUUGAUCCUGGCUCAGGACGAACGCUGGCGGCGUGCCUAACACAUGCAAGUCGAACGGAGCAAAGCCCUUCGGGACUUUGCUUAGUGGCAAACGGGUGAGUAACGCGUGAGGAACCUGCCUUUCAGUGGGGGACAACAGUUGGAAACGACUGCUAAUACCGCAUAAAGUUCUUCUGGGACAUCCCUAAAGAACCAAAGAUUUAUUGCUGAAAGAUGGCCUCGCGUCUGAUUAGCUAGUUGGCGAGGUAACGGCUCACCAAGGCGACGAUCAGUAGCCGGUCUGAGAGGAUGAACGGCCACAUUGGGACUGAGAUACGGCCCAGACUCCUACGGGAGGCAGCAGUGGGGAAUAUUGGGCAAUGGGGGAAACCCUGACCCAGCAACGCCGCGUGAAGGAAGAAGGCCUUCGGGUUGUAAACUUCUUUUACCAGGGACGAAGGAUGUGACGGUACCUGGAGAAAAAGCAACGGCUAACUACGUGCCAGCAGCCGCGGUAAUACGUAGGUUGCAAGCGUUGUCCGGAUUUACUGGGUGUAAAGGGCGUGUAGGCGGAGGAGCAAGUCAGAUGUGAAAUCCCGGGGCUUAACCCCGGAACUGCAUUUGAAACUGUUCCCCUUGAGUAUCGGAGAGGCAAGCGGAAUUCCUAGUGUAGCGGUGAAAUGCGUAGAUAUUAGGAGGAACACCAGUGGCGAAGGCGGCUUGCUGGACGACAACUGACGCUGAGGCGCGAAAGCGUGGGGAGCAAACAGGAUUAGAUACCCUGGUAGUCCACGCUGUAAACGAUGAAUACUAGGUGUGGGGGGACUGACCCCCUCCGUGCCGCAGUUAACACAAUAAGUAUUCCACCUGGGGAGUACGACCGCAAGGUUGAAACUCAAAGGAAUUGACGGGGGCCCGCACAAGCAGUGGAUUAUGUGGUUUAAUUCGACGCAACGCGAAGAACCUUACCAGGAUUUGACAUCCAACUAACGAAGUAGAGAUACAUUAGGUGCCCUUCGGGGAAAGUUGAGACAGGUGGUGCAUGGUUGUCGUCAGCUCGUGUCGUGAGAUGUUGGGUUAAGUCCCGCAACGAGCGCAACCCCUAUUGUUAGUUGCUACGAAAGAGCACUCUAGCGAGACUGCCGUUGACAAAACGGAGGAAGGCGGGGACGACGUCAAAUCAUCAUGCCCCUUAUGUCCUGGGCUACACACGUAAUACAAUGGUGGUAAACAGAGGGAAGCAAAGCCGCGAGGUGGAGCAAAUCCCUAAAAGCCAUCUCAGUUCGGAUUGCAGGCUGCAACUCGCCUGCAUGAAGCUGGAAUUGCUAGUAAUCACGGAUCAGCGUGCCGCGGUGAAUACGUUCCCGGGC
rnacentral:rRNA from 1 species